GAUCCUGGCUCAGGAUGAACGCUGGCGGCGUGCUUAACACAUGCAAGUCGAGCGAAGCAAUUUAAGUGAAGUUUUCGGAUGGAUCUUAGAUUGACUGAGCGGGCGACGGGUGAAGGUAACGCGUGGAUAACCUGCCUCACACAGGGGGAUAACAGUUAGAAAUGACUGCUAAUACCGCAUAAGCGCACGGUACCGCAUGGUGCAGUGUGAAAAACUCCGGUGGU
rnacentral:rRNA from 1 species